GACCAAAUAUUAAGGGCUUAUGGUGGAUGCCUUGACAUCAAGAGGCGAUGAAGGGCGUGGCGUGACUGCGAUAAGCUUCGGGGAGGUGUCUAGCAACCUUUGAUCCGGAGAUUUCCGAAUGGGGAAACCCAAUUGAGCAAACCUCAAUUAUCCCGCAGCAAUGCGAGGAGCGAACCCGCUGAAGUGAAACAUCUCAGUAAGCGGAGGAAAAGAAAAUAAUAUCAGCUUUGCUGAUUCAUUCCCUUAGUAGCGGCGAGCGAACGGGGAAGAGCCUAAACCAGUGCGAAGCACUGGAAUUUUGAAGCUUGAAUUUUGAAUUAUGAACGAAUUUUUAAUAAUUUAAUUUUUAAUUAAACAUUAAGAUAUUCUGAUUUGAAUCAAAAUUCGAAAUUAGAAAUUCGAAAUUCCGCUGCUUCGCAGUGGUGUUGCAAGGUAGUAACGUUCCGGAGCAUCUCACACCUUAUGAAUUUUCACGAGGUGUGGGAUUCAUUCCGGAGGGAGUCCACAAAAAUAAAGUUUACCCUGAGUUUAUCGAGGGGCAUUGUUAAUCAAAUCUCGCUGGAAAGCGGAACCAAAGAGGGUAAUAGUCCCGUAGGUGAAAACAGCUUUAUGCUCCUAGUUAUUAUUCUUAAGUACGGCGAGGCACGAAAACCUUGUCGGAAGCCGGCAGGACUACUCUGCCAAGGCUAAAUACUCUUGAUGAUCGAUAGUGAACUAGUACCGUGAGGGAAAGGUGAAAAAUAGCCCGGUAAGGGCGGUGAAAUAGAUCUGAAACCAUAAGCUUACAAAGACUCGGAGUCCUGUCGCUCUCGAGCGACGGGAUGACGGGGUGCUUUUUGCAGAACGAGCCAACGAGUCCGAGUGCAUAGCUUGUCUAAGUCCUAUGGGACGGAGGCGAAGCGAAAGCGAGUGUUAAAAGCGCGUCGGCGAUUUAUUCGUCGUGCUGUGCGCUCGGGACCCGAAGCCAGAGCGAGCUUACCAUGAGCAGGGUGAACCCCGCGUAAAAGUGGGGGGAGGCCCGCACCCGUUGGUCGUACCACGCCAUGGGA
rnacentral:rRNA from 1 species